rnacentral:antisense_RNA from 1 species
AAUAACCAAAUAUCACACUUGGGCUAAGGGUCAAGUUGGUAAUUUUUCUGACAUCUCCGCCCCUGGUGCCCAGGUAUCAUAUAUGCCUCCAAAAUAUAGAGCAUUGAGUACUAGAAUAAAAAGCACCUAUACCUAAUAAAAUUAAGUGAAUACCCAAAAUUGUAGUCAUUUUAUUUUUAUCUUUCCA